UUCCCCUUUUUCUAUCCACAG
rnacentral:miRNA from 1 species